AGGUCCGUAGCUCAGUGGUAGAGCAUUUGCUUUGCAUGCAGAAGGUCCCAGGUUCAAUCUCCAGGUAGGCUUG